rnacentral:lncRNA from 1 species
AAGUGAUUAUGAUAAAUUCAGCUGGUAUCUCUGUUGAUUUUCCAGACGUAGCUCAUCUACCUGGGCACUGAAUUGAAGAGCUAACUUGUUAAAUCAGGUUGAUUUGAUCACUUGUGGUCAUCUCGGCCUUAGAGUAGAGGAGAUAGACAUAGAGCUGGAUCUAGGGAGUGAGGAAGGAUCCAGCACAGAUCAACCUGAAGAAUUACUGAGUGAGAAGGAACACGCACUCAGAACUCCUCAGUGUGCAGUUCAGAGGACCUACACUCAAGACAGAGGAACUUCGAUUGUAACAUGCGCAGAUAAAGCUUCAAAAGUCAGCAUGAGAAUGGAAAUUAGAUUUUAUUAGCAGUUCAUAAAGGAGCGGGGCUUGUUUGGCCUGCCACUAUGAAGGCUGAGAGGGACUCUGCUGACCUCUUAACUGUAUUCAUGCAAAGGAAAGCUGUUGAAAUUCUUAACACACUGUCAGUAAAGGACCUUAAUCUCGUUAAGAAUACACUGAGACUCAAAAUAUAAAGGUCUGUAGCUAUCAACGUAGUUGAUAUUGCCCAACAAGAAUUUUUGAAAUGUUUCUUGAUGUGCUUAGCAGAUGUAAUACUCCUUAUAGGAGAGGGUCUGUUUCUACCAGACUGUUGGUGUGAAUGACCACUUUUGUCUCUGUAUUUUUUGUAUUCCCUUCUGAUCUUUCCCUCCCUUUUCAAAAAUCAGUCCUUUAAAAA